rnacentral:rRNA from 1 species
UGGGGAAUUUUGGACAAUGGGGGAAACCCUGAUCCAGCCAUCCCGCGUGUGCGAUGAAGGCCUUCGGGUUGUAAAGCACUUUUGGCAGGAAAGAAACGUCGCGGGUUAAUACCCCGCGAAACUGACGGUACCUGCAGAAUAAGCACCGGCUAACUACGUGCCAGCAGCCGCGGUAAUACGUAGGGUGCAAGCGUUAAUCGGAAUUACUGGGCGUAAAGCGUGCGCAGGCGGUUCGGAAAGAAAGAUGUGAAAUCCCAGAGCUUAACUUUGGAACUGCAUUUUUAACUACCGGGCUAGAGUGUGUCAGAGGGAGGUGGAAUUCCGCGUGUAGCAGUGAAAUGCGUAGAUAUGCGGAGGAACACCGAUGGCGAAGGCAGCCUCCUGGGAUAACACUGACGCUCAUGCACGAAAGCGUGGGGAGCAAAACAGGAUUAGAUACCCUGGUAGUCCACGCCCUAAACGAUGUCAACUAGCUGUUGGGGCCUUCGGGCCUUGGUAGCGCAGCUAACGCGUGAAGUUGACCGCCUGGGGAGUACGGUCGCAAGAUUAAAACUCAAAUGAAUUGACGGGGUCGAUAGCUG